UACGGGGGGAGCAAGCGUUGUUCGGAUUUACUGGGCGUAAAGGGCGCGUAGGCGGUCAGCACAAGUCAGUUGUGAAAUCUCCGGGCUUAACUCGGAAAGGUCAACUGAUACUGUGCGACUAGAGUGCAGAAGGGGCAACUGGAAUUCUCGGUGUAGCGGUGAAAUGCGCAGAUAUCAGGAGGAACACCUAUUGCGAAGGCAGCUCGCUGGGACGUUACUGACGCUGAGACGCGAAAGCGUGGGGAGCAAACAGG
rnacentral:rRNA from 1 species